rnacentral:tRNA from 1 species
GGGACUGUAGCUCAGUGGUAGAGCACUUGCCUUGCAUGUGUAAGGUGCUGGGUUCAAUCCUCAGCACCA